AUUGAACGCUGGCGGCAGGCCUAACACAUGCAAGUCGAACGAGUGGCGGACGGGUGAGUAAUGUCUGGGCCACUUCCUGAUGGAGGGGGAUCACUACUGGACACGAUAACUACUACCGCAUACCCUCGGAUGUGCCCAGAUGGGAAUAGGUAGUAGGUGGGGUAAAGGCUCACCUAGGCGACGAUCCCUAGCUGGUCUGAGAGGAUGACCAGCCACACUGGAACUGAGACACGGUCCAGACUCCUACGGGAGGCAGCAGUGGGGAAUAUUGGACAAUGGGCGCAAGCCUGAUGCAGCCAUGCCGCGUGUAUGAAGAAGGCCUUCGGGUUGUAAAGUACUUUCAGCGGGGAGGCGUUACCCGCAGAAGAAGCACCGGCUAACUCCGUGCCAGCAGCCGCGGUAAUUC
rnacentral:rRNA from 1 species